rnacentral:rRNA from 1 species
AUUGAACGCUGGCGGAAUGCUUUACACAUGCAAGUCGAACGGCAGCACGGACUUCGGUCUGGUGGCGAGUGGCGAACGGGUGAGUAAUGUAUCGGAACGUGCCCAGUCGUGGGGGAUAACGUAGUGAAAAUUACGCUAAUACCGCAUACGAUCUAUGGACGAAAGCGGGGGAUCGCCAGACCUCGCGCGAUUGGAGCGGCCGAUAUCAGAUUAGGUAGUUGGUGGGGUAAAGGCCCACCAAGCCAACGAUCUGUAGCUGGUCUGAGAGGACGACCAGCCACACUGGAACUGAGACACGGUCCAGACUCCUACGGGAGGCAGCAGUGGGGAAUUUUGGACAAUGGGCGAAAGCCUGAUCCAGCCAUUCCGCGUGCAGGAUGAAGGCCCUCGGGUUGUAAACUGCUUUUGUACGGAACGAAAAGGUUUCUACUAAUACUAGGAGCUCAUGACGGUACUGUAAGAAUAAGCACCGGCUAACUACGUGCCAGCCGCCGCCGUAA